rnacentral:rRNA from 1 species
UACGUAGGGUCCGAGCGUUGUCCGGAGUUACUGGGCGUAAAGCGCGCGCAGGUGGUUCACUAAGCCCGGCGUGAAAAGCCCCCCGGCUCAACCGGGGGAGGGUCGUCGGGGGACUGGUGAACUUGAGGGCGGCAGGGGCUGGUGGAAUCCCCGGUGUAGUGGUGAAAUGCGUAGAGAUCGGGGGGGAACACCCGUGGCGAAGGCGGCCAGCUGGGCCGUCCCUGACACUGAGGCGCGAAGGCGUGGGGGAGCGAACGGG